CCCCAAAGUUUAGACUGAUAGUCAUAGUGAAGCAGUCAAGACAAUUAAACAAAAGGUUAAUAACCUUUCCUGUUUAACUUCGCCAAUCACACUUGGGCAAAGGUUGUGGAAACUGAUACCUUGUUCAGUUUUAUUUUGAUAAAUGGAAUAACUCCCGGAAAAAUUAUGCAACUGUAGCUAAAGAUUUUAAACCUUGUUAUCUCUCUUCUUGAUCGAUCAAUUCCGUAUGAUUAAAUCGAAGUAUUAUUUUCUUGGCAAUAAGGUAGAGCGAUGGGGAUUUCAUACAUAGUAGGUCCAAUUUGUAAAUUUGGUUUGACAAAAGUUCAAAUCUUUCUGUUGUGGAUCAAGUGUCGAGUACUUGAGAUUCUUACUGGCAAUUAUUAUUAUAUGAUGCCUCUUAAGGCAAAAUGCAUGAUUGUCAAAGUGUACCUCCAAAUAUACUUGGCAACCUUCCUGAGAAUGUUAUCGAUACCAUUCUAAUGUGUUUGACUUUACGGGAUGUUGUUAGGACAAGCAUCUUAUCAAAGGGAUGGAGGUAUAAUUGGUGCAGACUUCCAGAAUUGACGUUUGAUUAGACACUUUUGGAAACAGAAAUUGCCUUAAUACCCCCUGCACUUGUAUUUACAAAAAUCAUAUGCCAUCUUUUGACACUUCAUGACAGACCAAUAACUAGGUUUUCGCUCUCCAUUCACUAUCAUCUUGGACAUUGUCCUAUGAUCGACAACUUGAUAUGUUAUCUCUCUAGGAAUGGAAUUCAGCAUCUUGUUCUUCAA